rnacentral:tRNA from 1 species
GCCGGCAUAGCUCAGUUGGUAGAGCAACUGAUUUGUAAUCAGUAGGUCGGGAGUUCGAGUCCCUCUGCCGGCACCA